AGCCGUUGGGAGCCCAGGAGGCGGGGCGCCUGUGGGAGCCGUGGAGGGAACUUUCCCAGUCCCCGAGGCGGAUCCGGUGUUGCAUCCUUGGAGCGAGCUGAGAGCUCGAGAACCUGCUAAGGCCAUCAAACCUAUUGAUCGGAAGUCAGUCCAUCAGAUUUGCUCUGGGCCGGUGGUACCGAGUCUAAGCACUGCGGUGAAGGAGUUAGUAGAAAACAGUCUGGAUGCUGGUGCCACUAAUAUUGUGAUGUCACCAUUUCUACCUGCCAUGUAUCGGCGAAGGUUGGGACUCGACUGGUGUUUGAUCACUAUGGGAAAAUCAUCCAGAAAACCCCCUACCCCCACCCCAGAGGGAUGACAGUCAGUGUGAAGCAGUUAUUUUCUACGCUACCUGUGCACCAUAAAGAAUUUCAAAGGAAUAUUAAGAAGAAACGUGCCUGCUUCCCCUUCGCCUUCUGCCGUGAUUGUCAGUUUCCUGAGGCCUCCCCAGCCAUGCUUCCUGUACAGCCUGCAGAACUGACUCCUAGAAGUACCCCACCCCACCCCUGCUCCUUGGAGGACAACGUGAUCACUGUAUUCAGCUCUGUCAAGAAUGGUCCAGGUUCUUCUAGAUGAUCUGCACAAAUGGCUCCUCUCCUCCUUCCUGAUGUCUGCCAUUAGCACUGGAAUAAAGUUCCUGCUGAAAAUCCACA
rnacentral:lncRNA from 1 species